GCGAAAGUGGCUCAGUGGUAGAGCAUCGCCUUGCCAAGGCGAGGGUCGCGGGUUCAAAUCCCGUCUUUCGCUCCA
rnacentral:tRNA from 4 species